AUGAGUGGAAGCCAAGACGCCCAUCGGAACCGUGUCCUCCCUUUGUCUUCUAUCCUUCCCCUGAAAGGAUGCCAGCGGGGUACAAGCAAGGUCGCGGGCAAGGCCGCACGGCGGCUCGGAGCUCCAAGGGCCCCGAGCGACCUAGCCGCCGAGGCGUUGUCAGCCUCUGCGCAUCCGUGGCCACGUGACCGUGACUCAACAGGCGCCGCCUUCCGGGUCUCAGGCCGGGUAGUGCAAGGCAGCGGAGGGAAAGUGGAAAGACUGCUCGAGGUGCGGGGAUGGGCGUUUAUCUCGGCCCCACCAACCCCCCUCCUCCGUCCAGCUCGGCCAACUGGGAGGCUGCCAAGUGCGCGCCAGCCGGGCUCGCCCGGGACGCGCCCAGCCCGCGUCUGCGACGUGGAAAACCUAGAGAGCCCUAAACAUCAGGGCUAA
rnacentral:lncRNA from 1 species